rnacentral:rRNA from 1 species
UACGUAGGGGGCAAGCGUUGUCCGGAAUCAUUGGGCGUAAAGCGCGUGUAGGCGGUCCGGUAAGUCGGCUGUGAAAGUCCAGGGCUCAACCCUGGGAUGCCGGUCGAUACUGCCGGACUAGAGUCCGGAAGAGGCAAGUGGAAUUCCCGGUGUAGCGGUGAAAUGCGCAGAUAUCGGGAGGAGCACCAAUGGCGAAGGCAGCUUGCUGGGACGGUACUGACGCUGAGACGCGAAAGCGUGGGGAGCAAACAGG